rnacentral:rRNA from 1 species
AGUGGAAGUUACAAGGGCGGACGGGGGAUGCCUAGGCUUCCGGAGGCGAAGAAGGACGCGGCAAGCUGCGAAAAUGCACGGGGAUCUGCAAGCAUGAUUUGAUCCGUGCGUGUCCGAAUGGGGCAACCCGGCGGGCUGAAGGCCCGUCACACCGCGAGGUGGGCGAACCCGGGGAACUGAAACAUCUCAGUACCCGGAGGAGGAGAAAGAAAAAUCGAUUCCCAGAGUAGUGGCGAGCGAAAUGGGAGGAGCCCAAACCGGCGCCGUCGAGGCGGAGCCGGGGUAGUAGGGCCGGCCAAAGAAUACCGGCGAUGGAACCGGAACGGCCUGGAAAGGCCGGGCGCAGAGGGUGACACCCCCGUAGGGGCAACACCGUCGGAGAUGGGCCGGCACCUGAGUAGGGCGGGACACGAGGAAUCCUGUCUGAAACCGCGGGGACCAUCCCGCAAGGCUAAAUACUACCGGAAGACCGACAGAGGACCAGUACCGUGAGGGAAAGGUGGGAAGCACCCCGAGCAGGGGAGUGAAACAGAACCUGAAACCGUCCGUCCACGAGCGGUCGGAGCCGAGAGGCGACGGCGUGCCUUUUGCAUAAUGAGCCUACGAGUUAGUCCGUGCCGGCGAGGUUAAUCCCUUAAGGGGAGGAGCCGGAGCGACAGCGAGUCUGAACAGGGCGUUCAGUCGGUGCGGCUAGACGCGAAACCUAGUGAUCUACCCUUGGCCAGGCUGAAGGCGCCGUAACAGGCGCUGGAGGGCCGGACCGGUUUACGUUGAAAAGUGCUCGGAUGAGCUGAGGGUAGGGGUGAAAGGCUAAUCAAACUGGGAGAUAGCUCGUACUCCCCGAAAUGCCUUUAGGGGCAGCCUCGCGAGAGCUUCACGGAGGUAGAGCU